rnacentral:rRNA from 1 species
CGAACGGGUGAGUAACACGUGAGUAACCUGCCCUUGACUCUGGGAUAAGCCUGGGAAACUGGGUCUAAUACCGGAUAUGACUCCUCAUCGCAUGGUGGGGGGCGGAAAGCUUUUUUGUGGUUUUGGAUGGACUCGCGGCCUAUCAGCUUGUUGGUGAGGUAAUGGCUCACCAAGGCGACGACGGGUAGCCGGCCUGAGAGGGUGACCGGCCACACUGGGACUGAGACACGGCCCAG